GCCUGACGCAGCGACGCCGCGUGGGGGAUGAAGGCCUUUGGGUUGUAAACCCCUGUCUGGAGGGAAGAAGUAAGUGACGGUACCUCCGGAGGAAGCCCCGGCUAACUACGUGCCAGCAGCCGCGGUAAGACGUAGGGGGCGAGCGUUGUCCGGAAUUACUGGGCGUAAAGGGCGUGUAGGCGGUCUAGCAAGUCAGGUGUAAAAGGCUGCGGCUCAACCGCGGUUAAGCGCCUGAUACUGCUGGACUUGAGGGCAGGAGAGGGGGGCGGAAUUCCCGGUGUAGCGGUGAAAUGCGUAUAUAUCGGGAGGAACACCAGUGGCGAAGGCGGCUCCCUGGACUGGCCCUGACGCUGAGGCGCGAAAGCGUGGGGAGCAAACAGGAUUAGAUACCCUGGUAGUCCACGCUGUAAACGAUGGGUACUAGGUGUUGGGGGUAUCGACCCCUCCAGUGCCGCAGUUAACACAGUAAGUACCCCGCCUGGGGAGUACGGCCGCAAGGCUG
rnacentral:rRNA from 1 species